UCGAGGUUGAGAUACGCGUGCGCGACCCGGAAACCCGGAAAGAGGAUCCAACCGGCGCCCCACCUUCCGGCCAUCUCCCGGUGGCAGACCACCUGCAUUCAAACCCUCUCCUCAGCGCCGAUGUUCUCUUGUGCGGUGGAUUACCCAAUCGGCGACGAACGGCAAUGGUACGACGUCUAGAAGCCGCUGAAAUUUCCGGCGAUUGUCCUGCAAUUUCCGGCAACGAUACAGCAGUGCACUGGUAUCAUUUGAAUCCUCUCGUCAUCACCGACCUUUCUGUGCUCUUGGUGAAGUGUUGAGAAAGUGAAGGAAAAGGGGAGAAGUUCUUCUGCUGUCAUGUUCUUCGUCAAGAACAUUGGACUGCCAAUUCGGACUCUGCUUUUGAUUUAAUCUGAUAUCAAGGAUUCAGUUACUCAAGGAGCGGAAGGUUCAUGAUUCUCGGACAACAUUAAAGGUUAGAGCAUCGGAAUCCAGAUAGGGGACUCGGACUCACUUGAUUAUUGAUGGCCUGAGAGUGAAAGGAACAUAGCGAUUCCUUGGGAUUCGAUCCCCUAAACCUUCGGAGGGGCCGUAUGGACGGAAUCGUAUCCGACAUCCCCUGAGGUGUGGCACUAUUUCUAGGUGAUAUGGCGUAAGUGGACACUCUCACUACACUUACCUGAUGACUUUAUUUGAGGUAAGGCCAUGUAGUUGGUCCAUGGGACCAGCGAUCAGGUACUAUAUAUUCAUUUGAGUUUCGUGGAUUGGAUUUUGAGUCCGAAAAAUAUUUGAAGUUUGUCGUUCUCUAAAUGAAAUGAUUUGAGUACGUUUUCAUACUGGGUACCCAAAAAUUAUAUUUUAUGUGUCGGUUUUCAAACCUAGUCGGGUGAAGCCCUUAUUGAGCACUGAGGACGAAAGCUUACCCCUACAACAGUGUGGAUGCAGGUACUGUGCACUGGUAACGGGACUAGAGCAGAUGGAGCUGGGUGUGCAGAUUUCAAUAGUAUAUCUUAAUGGAAAUCAGGUUCCGAGUUCCAAUCUUAUUUUUGUUCCUUAAAGUUGUAUUUCUGGAACUUGUCAAAAUUUGUUUGUUGUAAGCUAAGUCCAUUAUUUCUCGAUUGAUUGCAACGUCAAGUCCUAGAUGAACAUUUGAAUUUGAAGUCUUAGAAAGGUUUUCACCUUAAAAAUAUUUAAAAGCUUCCGUUGUGUAUUUUGUGAAAAGUUUAUUUUAAACAAAUUUGCCUAGCGAAUUUCUAAAAUGUAAAUAGUAUUUUUGGUUUAUGUUUUGGAGCUAGACUCGCGGCACUGUAACAUACUCAAGUUGGUGAGGUACAAUUUGGGGCAUUAUAGGAUAAUAGAAUGCGAUACACAAAGUAGGUUAGCAAGUAUCCUAUUGAUGAUAGAUGGCAGCGGUGGUGCUAAACCUCAACUCCUAAAGCCAAACAGCUACACUGCGAACUUGGCAUUUGAAAACAAAGGGCCCAGGGGAAAAGGAUAUAAAAACGUUAGCGUGAGUGGGCAAGAUAAACACUGUCGCAUAAGAAAUUAAAGAGUGAUUUAUGCUCUCCCACAAUUUGAUUUAAUAUAAAUCUCGAUGCAUGCCAGUGGUUAGGAAUGAAAUUUAAAGAAUAAAAUUGACUAGCCUCGCUAGUCCAAAAUAACAAAGUAUAAGCAGGGGAAGAUGAUGGCUAUAAAAGUGAGCCUCCCAGGCUCGGGUGAUAGCCUCCCAGGCUAAAGUACUCCCAUACUCCCGUAUAUACCCUUACGUGACUAAGUGCGGCGAAUAGGAUACUGAGCUUUAGUGUUACCACCACAAAGGCAGCAACCAGCGCCACAAAGGCGAACAUGCUUCCGUGAUCCCAUCGCGUCACUACAAAAAUGGACUACAUGCUAGCGUGAUAAAUAAUCACCCAAAGGGAGCUCCUCUCAUCUUGUACAAAAUAACAUUCAUAAACAACUAAACUAUUUUCGGAAAUUAAGUUUACUUUAAAUUUAAAAUGGUUUCUAAACAUUACUUCAACGAAUUAACCCCCUCCUCGGAUUUAAUCCAAGCGUCACCACUAACAUCAUUUCAUUAAUUUACAGAUUUUAGGACAGAUUCGAGAGAAAUUUGACGGUUGGAUUCUUGUAAAUCGCUAACUGAAAUUUCAAACAUCGAAAGUUCACAAUUGAUACCAAACUUCUACGAUUUCCACCAAAACCACAUUUACAAGUUCUAUGUUACGCUAAAAUCAAGCGUUCAACUUAACCCUGCAAAUUGUAGUCAUUAGCAAUAUAGAGUAAGCAAGGAUCGUUCGAUGCCAGAGAUUGAGGGUAACAAAUUAAUCACACAAAAUAAAACAAAUAACAAAACUAAACUAACUAGCACACAAAACAAUUGACAAUACUAAGAAAAAGAAAAACAUCAAAGAGAGAAAAAGAUAGCAGGAAAAGAAGGGGAUAGAAGGGUGCGCCACAAUCCUAAGUUGAAACAAAUUUGGGGUUUUGAAGUCUAUGAAAAUAAAAGAAAAAUAAGAAAGCGAAAUCAAUUUUAGAGUUUGAAAAACAAUAUGGAGAAGACGUUAGAGACUCGGAAAUCCACCACCAAUUACUUUCGAACAAUGUUAAAUUAACCUAGUCUCAGUUACUAAGGUGUGAACAGAAACCAACCAAAAAACAGAUCGAAGCAGAUCAUGUCCCUUAUUAUUGUUUCCCUAAGUACUUAGUUUAUGUGAACACAGAAUAGCCAAGCCUAUCAAACAUGCAAUCAAGGUAUAGAACGCUAUCCUAUCAACAACACAUAUAGUGUCAACAUAUUUGAAGCAUUAAGAUAUCAUGGAAACGAUUGGUUAUAGAGUUGCAGUCUAGUGUGGAACGCCUACCUAGCAUGCUCUUCUAGUUGUUUAAAACAUCAGCUUUUGUCCAAAGUCUUGCAUACUUGUGGAUUAGAAAACAAUACAAUUUGGUGAAUUAUUUUCUAAACCUAGCUCCAAUUACAUGCAUAAAUCCUAUGUUGGCCACCAUAAAACAAACACAUGCAAAGUUUUCAAUCAAUCAGAGAUAAACAACCAAUUCACACAAAAGAUCAAGAAACUAGAUUAAAACAAACAUAUGUUCUACAUAAUCGGGGCUUCAAACCUCGCCCCUAACAAGAAGUAACUAGCCACACAUUGUCUUUAAUUCAACAGAUAAAAACAUAAGUAUUUGAUUACAAGAGAAUAAAAGGGAGAACAUGAGAGCCACAAAUUCACUUUUAGGCAGCCUUGUACGCAAGCACUCCUUCAAGAUGGGUCACGGUCAAGCUUGAUGGAGGGUGGAAGAUGGAUUGCACGGUUUUUGCUCUUGGAGGACUUGGGAAUUUCAAGACUUUGUGUACUAGGGUUUGGGGCAGAAGAUGACGCUGUAGGGUGGUGAUUUUUUCAUGUGUUUAGAUGCUCUAUAUGUAUGAGGAGCACAACCCAAGUUUCCUUCUCCAAUUCUGAUUUAAAGACCUUCCCUUGUUGCUUGAGGAUUCCUUUGAUUGGUGUACAAUUUAAUUGCCAUAAAGCCUUAGUAAUCUUCCCAAGAUCUUGAGGAAUCAUUUUAGGACUCUCCUUGACAUUUGCAGCAUCAAUAACCUUCCAAAAAUGCACCCAAAAUCAGCCCAUAGAAUAUUUCCGCCAAAUUGUCAUGUUUUGACUGGGACUCAAUUUCUCUCUCUGAAGCUUAAUUCACUACUACAGAAAUGGGCUUUGUAGACACCCAGCUAAAAGAUACAAAGACAGUUUUUUAUUUAGAUGUCCUUACAACUUAAUAAGGACGUCAACUUUUAAAAUCUUCCGUGUUUUUCCCUUAAGCGCACUGUAGUAGGAAGUCUAGGUCAUCAUUUCUGUCUAACCAACAAAAAAGAUAAAACACUAUUCACUCCAUAGAAAAUCGCUCUUGCUCUCUCUCUCUUCCCCCUCAAAUCUCUUCUGUCUCUCCUCCCAAAUCUAUCCUUUGCCUGGCCUCCUCCAUCAUCGAUAUCGCCAUGACCUUGGACUCCACCAUCGGCCUAUUCGAUGUCCGCCAAAUAUCCCGAUAACACUGUGUUCAACCUCAUUGCUACGCACUAUCGUCGGGACGACCUCCACCACUUCGAUUGUAACCUCGCGAAGGGCAAGAUCUCAUACUCGAUUCAGCAGGCGUUGACUGGCCUCUCAGCUAUGCACGAAUCCAGCUGCCUAAUCUAUGGUAUCCAUCUGAUUUAGGGUUUCUAAUCCAUGUUAUAGAAUUUAUUUUUUAAUUCACGAUUGUAUGAUAAUUUCAGGUGUUUGGAUUGCAAAUUUGAGAUAUGGGUUUCGUCAUUCUUGUCUCUUGCUCAAUUAUACUAUAUGGGUUUUUAUUUCUAGGCUUGGUUUUGGCUGAUUCUUCUCAGUCUGGAACUGGGUUUCUUUUAUUCAAAUUGCAAGUGUAUGAUAUGGUUGCAUAGCUCUGUAGAUUUGAUGAAUGGGGUCCUGGGUUUUGUGGGGUUUACAUGGAGACUGGCUUUUGGGUUAUCUCUCCAUUAAUCUCUGAGCAAAAAAUUAUGAUAUUUUCUUCUUUUCUAUUCUUCUUCUUUUCUUUUGGGUAGCAGAUUGGGAAGUGAAAAGUGAAAUCAGAAAGAAUGAGAGUAAGAACAUAGGGAAGCUUGUUAUCAUGUCGAUCUAUGUUGGGCCACUUUCAUCCACUUCCACCUAUGGUCUCCAUGGAACUGGUAAUCCUUCUUUUCAAUUUGUUCUGUUAUCAUGGUGAUACUUUUGUAAUUUGUACACUUAUACAUUAGUCAUGAAAUUCUUGUACCAUUUUAUUAGAGUGAGCAUCUGAAAAGGAGUGAAGCAUUGGAGAAGAUUAUGGUAACCUAGUUGAUCAAGUAUUUCUUGUUCCAUUCACUUGGUUAUCGUCCUAAGCUGAUAUUUAUAUACUUCUUUUCAAUCUAUCCCAACUCCCCAUCUACAAAGGGCGCUGAAAUUUGUUCUGUUUCUACCUGUUUAGAUAAAAAGUCUGAUGCAAAAUCUGUAAAAAGUUAUUGUUACGAAAAAUGCUUUGGUACUUAGCUAUAUUGUGAAAUGCUUGUUAAAUUAACUGUGAUGUUGUAGUCUUAGCUGGUUGGAGUGAUAUUUCUUCUUUUUUCCUCCUCCUAUGUUUCUUUAAAUGGUUCUGUUCAUUUAGAAGGUCCCGAAGUUUGACAACAUUUGUUAUAUAGGAAAAAAAAAAAAACUCCUUUUAACUAUUUAAUCAAAAUGCUUUUCUUAUUAUUACUAUUAUUAUUAUUUUUUUGUUGACAGGAAGUUGCUUACCUGGGUCAGAUGGAUCUUGAGACAGAGAAAAGAAUAGCUGUGAUUUUUAUGAGAUAAGAUAAGACUUGCUGCGCCAAGUUGAGAAGGAAGGUGUGCAUGCUUAUCGUCAACAACCUAAAACAGGAUUUAGGCUAAAUUCGUCGUUGCUUAGUGCUAACGUCCGUGGUGUUGAACAACAAAUAAAGCUGUGGAGGUGAAUGAAAUGUGGUGAAUCCGGCGGAAAGAGCUCGAAUCAGAUGAAAGACUUAAAGGCAAGAUGAAGGAUGAGAUGAGAGCAUAAAUGACAGGAAUCCUGGAAAUGGUAACACUCUUCUAGUGCAGGUAAUUGUUCCCUGUCAUGUUUCUUGAAACUGUCUCAGAGGUAGUGGAUGAAGAUAUUGGAGAUGAUGAAACAAAGUUUAUGUGCCUCUACUGCCAUCUAAGAUCACAUAGGAUAUCAACCUGUAAUUAGGAUUUAUUUAGUUUGUUUUAAUUGUAGUUUAGUUUAACUGUUAUGAGUAACAGAUCAGUAAAUGUCCUCUUUUCUUUUCAAGGACACUUUUUGUUCAUACCGGGACAUUUUUUUUUGUGUUCUGUAAUAGUUACAAUGACGUUUUUUUUAGAUUUCAGGACCUUUUUUCAGCGUCCUCGUAUAUAUAAGAUGACACUUUUUUAGAUUUAAGGACACUUUUUCAAUGUCCUAUAAAACAUUAGAGGACGUUUUUUUUUUAGAUUAGAGGACACUUUUCCAACGUCCUUAUAGGUAUUUAAGGACGUUUUUUGAACGUCCUUAUAAGUGACUUACAAUGACUCCUUGAUAGAUGACGCUUUUUUUGCGUGUCAUCUAAAGUUUUUAAAGACGUUUUCUGAACGUCCUUAAAUGUUUUUUUUGUA